rnacentral:rRNA from 1 species
AAACCACAUACUCCACCGCUUGUGCGGGCCCCCGUCAAUUCCUUUGAGUUUCAACCUUGCGGCCGUACUCCCCAGGCGGGGUACUUAUUGCGUUAACUCCGGCACAGAAGGGGUCGAUACCUCCUACACCUAGUACCCAUCGUUUACGGCCAGGACUACCGGGGUAUCUAACCCCGUUCGCUACCCUGGCUUUCGCAUCUCAGCGUCAGACACAGUCCAGAAAGGCGCCUUCGCCACUGGUGUUCCUCCCAAUAUCUACGCAUUUCACCGCUACACUGGGAAUUCCCCUUUCCUCUCCUGCACUCAAGCCUAACAGUUUCCAGCGCCAUACGGGGUUGAGCCCCGCAUUUUCACGCUCGACUUAUUAAGCCGCCUACAUGCUCUUUACGCCCAAUAAUUCCGGACAACGCUCGCCACCUACGUAUUACCGCGGCUGCUGGCACGUAGUUAGCCGUGGCUUCCUCGUUUACUACCGUCAUUGCAAUGCAUUGUUCACACACUGCACGUUCGUCAUAAACAACAGAGCUUUACAGACCGAAAUCCUUCAUCACUCACGCGGCGUUGCUCCGUCAGACUUUCGUCCAUUGCGGAAGAUUCCCCACUGCUGCCUCCCGUGGGAGUUUGGGCCGUGUCUCAGUCCCAAUGUGGCCGUUCAUCCUCUCAGACCGGCUACUGAUCAUCGCCUUGGUAGUCCGUUACACUACCAACUAGCUAAUCAGACGCAGGCCCAUCCUUUAGCGAUAGCUUACUUGUAGAGGCCAUCUUUCUUCAUCCUG